rfam:Triticum urartu cultivar G1812 contig1231258, whole genome shotgun sequence.
AUUAUAGUCCCUCCGUCCGGAAAUACUUGUCGGAGAAAUGGAUGUAUAGUUCUAGAUACAUCCAUUUUCAUUCAUUUCCGCGACAAGUAAUUCCAGACGGAGGGAGUACUUG